rnacentral:rRNA from 1 species
ACACAUGCAGUCGAGCGGCAGCACGGGUACUUGUACCUGGUGGCGAGCGGCGGACGGGUGAGUAAUGCCUAGGAAUCUGCCUAGUAGUGGGGGAUAACGUCCGGAAACGGGCGCUAAUACCGCAUACGUCCUACGGGAGAAAGUGGGGGAUCUUCGGACCUCACGCUAUUAGAUGAGCCUAGGUCGGAUUAGCUAGUUGGUGAGGUAAUGGCUCACCAAGGCGACGAUCCGUAACUGGUCUGAGAGGAUGAUCAGUCACACUGGAACUGAGACACGGUCCAGACUCCUACGGGAGGCAGCAGUGGGUAAUAUUGGACAAUGGGCGAAAGCCUGAUCCAGCCAUGCCGCGUGUGUGAAGAAGGUCUUCGGAUUGUAAAGCACUUUAAGUUGGGAGGAAGGGCAGUUACCUAAUACGUGAUUGUUUUGACGUUACCGACAGAAUAAGCACCGGCUAACUCUGUGCCAGCAGCCGCGGUAAUACAGAGGGUGCAAGCGUUAAUCGGAAUUACUGGGCGUAAAGCGCGCGUAGGUGGUUUGUUAAGUUGGAUGUGAAAGCCCCGGGCUCAACCUGGGAACUGCAUCCAAAACUGGCAAGCUAGAGUAUGGUAGAGGGUGGUGGAAUUUCCUGUGUAGCGGUGAAAUGCGUAGAUAUAGGAAGGAACACCAGUGGCGAAAGCGACCACCUGGACUGAUACUGACACUGAGUGCGAAAGCGUGGGGAGCAAACAGGAUUA